UUGAAAGAGACUGCAUUCGAAAGAGAAGGAUUCAAUACCUGGAAAUCUCAUUGCGUUUUAAGGUUGUUGAGUAUCGUGGUGAGCAAAUAGGAGGUCUUGAGGAUCUGAGGGAACCAUAUAUGUUGUUUUCUUCCUUUAUAGAUAAAUUCUUGCUUAGCUUUUAUUACAUGGUUUGCGUCUAAUUGAAAACUUCACGUCUUUGCCCAUUUCAGGUUCUUACAAAAUCGGUACUGCGUCUGAAUCUGUUAAUGCAGCUUACAUAUUUUCUAGAAAAGAUCUUUCUCGGCCUGCUAUACAGAUUCCCUGCGC